rnacentral:rRNA from 1 species
AUACGGAGGAUGCGAGCGUUAUCCGGAUUUAUUGGGUUUAAAGGGUGCGUAGGCUGUGCGUUAAGUCAGGGGUGAAAUGCCGUCGCUCAACGACGGAGCUGCCCUUGAUACUGGCGUGCUGGAGUACGGAUGCCGUUGGAGGAAUGAGUGGUGUAGCGAUGAAAUGCUUAGAUAUCACUCAGAACACCGAUUGCGAAGGCAUCUAACGAAUCCGUCACUGACGCUGAGGCACGAAAGCGUGGGGAUAGAACAGGAUUAGAUACCCUGGUAUUCCACGCCGUAAACGAUGAUGACUAACCGUCGGCGAUAGACAGCCGGUGGCCAAGCGAAAGCGAUAAGUCAUCCACCUGGGGAGUACGUCGGCAACGAUGAAACUCAAAUGAAUUGACGGGG